rnacentral:rRNA from 1 species
UACCAGCACCCCGAGUGGUCGGGACGAUUAUUGGGCCUAAAGCAUCCGUAGCCGGUCCUACAAGUCUUCCGUUAAAUCCACCUGCUUAACAGAUGGGCUGCGGAAGAUACUAUAGAGCUAGGAGGCGGGAGAGGCAAACGGUACUCGAUGGGUAGGGGUAAAAUCCGUUGAUCCAUUGAAGACCACCAGUGGCGAAGGCGGCUUGCCAGAACGCGCUCGACGGUGAGGGAUGAAAGCUGGGGGAGCAAACCGG